rnacentral:rRNA from 1 species
AUGCUGCAUAGUGCCUUGGAGGAGGAGGAAGAGGAGGAAGCCACCGCGCUGGAGAUGUUGGACCGGCUCAUCCUCAACGGCUACGAAGCGUCCCCGAGCGAGAUGCAGGAGGUAGUACGUGUCACCUGGGAGGACAAGGAGGACAAGGCAGCACGGCAGAGCAUCUCCAGGCGUGGGAGGUGCGCGGCGAGGCAUACGAUGGUGACUGACCUAGAGACUCUGCUGACCCGCUGUGCAGAAGCAGUGGCCAGCAGCGACGUGUGUGGCGCGAGCAAGCUGCUGGAGCGGAUCAAGUGUCACUCAUCGCCGAGAGGGGACGCUAGGCAGCGGCUGGCGCACUACUUCGCCCAGGGGCUGGAGGCACGGCUGGCUGGCACGGGGAGCCGACUGUACCGAUCGCUCAUGGGGAAGCGCACCUCAGCCGUGGAGCUCAUCAGGGCCUACCAUCUGCACACGGCCGCGAGCUGUUCGAUCAAGGUGGGGUUGCUCUUUUCCACCAACACCAUCUACAAGGCCGUUGCAGGGAGGAGGAAACUGCACAUUGUGCACUACGGCAUCAGCACCGGGUUUCAGUGGCCGGACUUGCUCCGGUUACUGGCGAAUAGGGAGGGCGGGCCACCAGAAGUGAGGAUCACCGGCAUCAACACCCCUCAGCCCGGGCCCUGUCCGGCUGCACUAAUGGAGGAGGCAGGGCACCGGCUCAACAAUUACGCAAGUCAGUUUGGCGUGCCAUUCAAGUUCCGCGCCAUCGCAUCCAAGCUGGAGGAUGUCCGGGCUGAGGACCUGCACAUCGAUCCAGAUGAGGUCCUGGCCGUGAGCAGCCUAUACGAGUUCAGGACCUUGAUGGACGAGAGCCUCACCUCUGACAUGCUAAGCCCAAGGGACAUGGUACUCAACACUAUCAGGAAGAUGAGGCCGUCUGUGUUCGUCAGUUCCGUUGUCAAUGGACCUUACAGUGCGGCGUUCUUUAUGACGCGGUUCCGCCAUGCGCUCUACUACUUCUCGGCGUUGUUCGAUAUGAUGGAGACCACCGUUCCAUGGGACAGCGACAAGAGACUUCUGGUGGAGCAGGAGAUACUUGCACGGUCCGCCAUAAACAGGAUCGCAUGUGAAGGCGCAGACCGGGUGGAGCGCCCUCAGAACUACAAGGAGUGGCAGACGCGGAACCAGCGAGCGGGGCUAAGGCAGUUGCCAUUGGACCCUGAUAUUGUUAUGAUGCUCAAGGACGAAGUGAAGAAUCGGUACCACAAGCAUUUCAUGAUCUGCGAGGAUCACCGGUGGCUUCUACAAGGAUGGAAAGGCCGGGUGCUCUAUGCCCACUCCACAUGGGCAGCUGGUGAUGCUACUGGUUCUCUAGUGUGA